rnacentral:rRNA from 1 species
AGAGUUUGAUCAUGGCUCAGAACGAACGCUGGCGGCAUGCCUAAUACAUGCAAGUCGAACGAGAACGCUCCUUCGGGAGUUAUUAAGAGUGGCGCACGGGUGAGUAACACGUAGGUGACCUGCCCUUUUGUGGGGAAUAACUCGGGGAAACUCGGGCUAAUACCGCAUAAGCUUAGCAAUUUUGAAAGUAGCUAAGGAAAGAUUGCCUCUAUACUAUGCAAUCGCUGAAGGAUGGGCCUGCGGGACAUUAGCUUGAUGGUAGGGUAACGGCUUACCAUGGCGACGAUGUCUAGCGGAUUUGAGAGAAUGAUCCGCCACACUGGAACUGAGACACGGUCCAGACUCCUACGGGAGGCAGCAGUAGGGAAUAUUGCGCAAUGGGCGAAAGCCUGACGCAGCAAUGCCGCGUGAGUGAGGAAGGCCUUAGGGUUGUAAAGCUCUGUUAAUGUGGAAAAAUGGC